ACUCCGAGGGGAUGCAGCAGCAAUUCAUGUUUUGAAGUGCUUUAAACGGUUCAAAACGUGAGGCGCUGCUAUACCCCCUCGAGAGGAAGUUGGAAGAGGGAGUUCUGCUGGACGUGCGUUCCUAAGGGGCGCUGGCUGCCAAGGAGAGCUCUGGAGCAGAAGGAGGCCCCGCAGCAGCUGGCGCCCACCCUCCGAGAGGACCACGCCAGCACCAUCCGGCUCCCUCCAGCAGGACCCAGGAUUUUUUGAAGGUAUCCAGCUUCUCCAGUUAGCAGUACUGAUUUUUUUCCCCCCAACAAAGGAACACUACAUCAACACCCUUGGCCGGGAUCUGGACACAGAAGACUCCUGUUUCAAGAAAACACAAUCAUCUCUCAAAUCCUGUAAUUUAUAUGCAUUUUAAACUCACUAGGUAUUAAAAACCACCCAAGUGUCCCACAACAUGGGGUAUAAUAUAAUCAAUCACUCAGUGUAAUAUUAUACAUCCUUUAAAAAUGUUAUUGGAAAAUGUUUUAUGAUCUGUAAGUCGAAAUAACCCUCUCCCACCCUUCCUCUCUCCCUGCUGCUCCCUUAUACCCACACUUCUUUGUUCCAAUUGGCAUGUAAACUUGCUUUUCCCGCCAAAUGAGUCAGUCAUGAUGGGAGCGUCAAUUGAUUUGAACAGAUGUGUGUCAAUAUUACUUGGAAAACUAGAUGCCAAUAACCAGGGCCACAAAAAAAAAAAAAGCAGUGGUUGCAACUCUGUAAAAAUUUAUACGUGCAUACAGACAAGCACUAUAGUGGAACCCCAAACAGGAAACUAGUUGGAUAUACUCUAGUGCUGGGAGAGUAAAUGACUGUAAGAUGCUUUUGAUUUCCAUUAAUAUGGGCAACUGUCCAAUUAAAAAAAGACCUACUAAGGACUCUGAAGUGCAAAUUAUUUUGCUGAUUGUUUAAAAAAGAAAAACGCCAUACCUAUCAAAUCAUCAAGGCAGAUGGGGCAGCCGGGGACAGAGUUUGUUCCCUGAUCCUGGACUGUCAGGCUCAGAGCAACACUUGGAGAAAAAGUCACCCUACACAGGUGGGGGUUAACUUCUAGGUAGCUUUCCUGAGAGAUGGCAUAAGAUAAAAAUAAAAGUAAAUCCAAAAAACAUUUUUUUGAAGAUCAAUAAAAGUUAAUGGAUAGGAAUUAAAAACGAGAGUCGGGCGCUAUAUCCAAGUUGGCAUAAAGUUUUAGAGCUGUUUUCCCAUCAGCCUACGGUGUAACUUGUCCUCAUAACCCUAGAACUUGAGAUAUGCAUUUAUAUUUAGAAUGAUUACGUUACUCUUAAAGGAAAAACAAUAUAUGCACCAAUUAUAGCAAAUGCGUAUCUCCCUGCCACCCUAAACCCCACUCAUCCCCACCCAUUAGUCACUGCUCAGUAAGUGAACAAAGAUCUGCUAGCUCUUUCAGAACAUUUCACCUAUCUGCAGCUUUUACCUCCCUCCCCCGCUCCAUGGCUGAUCUCUGGCUAGUUGAGAAAGGCUUGGACCCCUGUGGGGACAGUAAAUUGAGCCAUUAGGGAGGAACCCUGAGAAGACCUCCAUUUCCGGUGGCGGCUCAGCUUCGGAGUGCUCCCCUUCCACUAGUGAGCUCUAGAAACUGAGCAGCUCCUGGGAGUUUGGGUGGUGGCCCUGCCCUCCCGGCCUCCGUUAGCCUGGGAGCUGAGAACAGAGCAAUGUACUCAAGAGUCCCAAUUGCUUUAAAGCAUGAGUCUCCCAAAGCAGCUCCCUCACCUGUCCCCCAACCCCACCCCCACCUGCUCUCAAGACCAGACUGUUGUCCCAAGACCAGACUUUUUAAAGUCCUGAUCAUAAAAAUCGCCAACGAUCAGAAUCAGAAUAAUCCCAACAUAUUGCUUUUUGUAUCAUGCUUUUCCAAAUGCUUUCAUAGCAAAAACCCUGAGAGAUAAAUCCCAUAAGGCAGUCAAAAACACAAUCGCCGACCAGAAAACUGGGGCUUCCGGAGGUUAAGGAUUUGUCCAAGGCGAGUCUGGUGCCUCUUCCUCCAGGCUUCGUGUUGUGCUUCUUAUAUUAUUACCUGUUAAUCAGAACCAACUACACAGUAGAGACUAGAGCAGGAAAUGGAGUUGACUUAGUUUGCUUAGAAAAAUUAGAGGUGAAACUGAUUUGUCAUAAAAUGAGCUUUUACCUACACCCUGGACGCUUCCAGAAUGGCUCCGGGAUGACUAAAUAGUGACAGUAAAUUACCCAGCUGUGUACACGUGGAUGUGCACAAACCAAAAAAAGCAUGAUUUAAAAUCAUUUAAAAAUCUCUGGCCCAUAUUUGAUACUUUCUAUAGAUUCAACUAAAUUAAUUUUAAGGAAAGAGAUGAAAUGUCCAACCAUAGGGGUUAACUUAAUUUAGUCACUCACUCAAUGAAAUCUUUCAACCGUUACAAAUAAUAAGUUUAAAGACUAUGUCAAAGACUAUGUCAAAGUUUAUGAUACCAUGUUUUACAAAUCAGGAACACAUAGUCACUUGGCCACCAUGAUUGACAAGCAGGUCUGUAUAGGCGCAGAAACUGGAAAGAACGUAGAAAACAAACAUAUUCGUUGCUUAAGGUGAUGGGAUUCAAGCUAAAGUUUUUUCUCUCUCUGCUUUUCCAGUAUGCUUUUUGUUAUGCCGUGUUGUUUGUUAUGUUGUCAAACAUAAUUCUCUCAAAAGUCUUCAGGGGUCAUGGGUGAGACAGCAAUUUUGGGUCCAGGACGCACAGACCUCAGACAUCUCGGGGAUCAUCAUGUCACGAGAUACCACUGUGCACUUGUGACAGAUUGAUAACUGAAAGGUCUGGGAGCCGCUCAUCUUCACGGCGAUACAACUGGUAAGUAUUACAAGACCAGCCAAUGAAAAGGUCAGAGAAAAGUGGGCCCUAAGCGAGGAAGAAAGUGGUGGCUGUGGCGCAAACAGGGGGAUGAGUUGUAUUUUAAUAGUUUAAUGGGAGGUGGGGGUUCAGACUCUGUCUUUAAUUAUAUUUUAAAUUUCUUUUUAAUGAAUUGAAACUUAUUUAAGGCAUAAGAUUUGAUAUUCAUGCUAGAAUGUUAAAGAAUUUAUGCUCAAGCAAACAACCAGAAAAACACGAACUGUGAGCACUGAAGACAUCGGGUCAUCCUGAGUAUGUUAUGUCAAUGUAAGUGGUCCAGAAAAGACGGGAAACCCCCGUGAACAAAAAGUCACAAAACAAAAAUACAUGAAAGAUGCUCAUUUCAGUAUUUUUAAGACUAGAAAUUAGAAAUACCGUGAUGACCAACAACAAAGGAUUGGGUAAAUAAAAUAUGGUGCCUCUAAUAAAUGACAUGAGAAUUGGCUUCUGCUGAAAUAUUUAGUGAUAAAAGAAGCAUGCCAAUUUUUUUUUGCACUGUUCCCAUCUGUGCAAUCUGAGUAUAUGGGGAGCAUUCGGCAUGCAGUUUUGUUUCAAUAUAUAGACACAAGGCUGGGAGGAAAUAAAGCAAAACUUUAACAGUGGUUAUCUCUGAGUUGCAAUAUGAAAAGUGAUCAAAGAAAGAUGCUAAACUAUUUUUGCGAUGUGUUCCUAAUAUGUAAUAUAAAUGUAUUGGGAACAUUUUGCAUUCGUAGUUUUGUAUCAAUAAUAUGGAAAGAAGGCUAGGAGGAGGGAUACCAAAAGUUUAUCAAAGAAAGAUGCUAAACUAUUUUUGCGAUGUGUUCCUAAUAUGCAGUAUAAAUAUAUUGGGAGCAUUUUGCAUGCAUGGUUUUGUAUCAAUAUACAGAUAAAAGGCUGGCGGGAAUAAAGCAAAAAUUGUAUAAUGGUUAUCUGUGGGUUGUGAUGUGAUAAAGUGAUAAAAGGAAGGUACAAAAUUAUUUUUGCAAUAUGUUCCUGAAUAUGUAAUAUAAGUGUAUUGGGAACAUUUUGCAUCCAUAGUUUUGUAUCAAUAUUUAGAGAAAAGGCUAGGAAGUAACAUACCAAAAUUUAGUGGGAGCCUUUUCUGGGUUCUAGUAUUAUAGAUUGUAUCUAUUCUUCUCUUUAUACUUUUAUGUAUUUUCCAAGUAAUACUUGUACAAACAAGAUGCAUUACUUUUAUAGCAAUAAUAAAACUUAUUUUAUGUUUUUA